GAUGAACGCUGGCGGCGUGCCUAAUACAUGCAAGUCGAACGAGUUCUCGUUGAUGAUCGGUGCUUGCACCGAGAUUCAACAUGGAACGAGUGGCGGACGGGUGAGUUACACGUGGGUAACCUGCCCUUAAGUGGGGGAUAACAUUUGGAAACAGAUGCUAAUACCGCAUAGAUCCAAGAACCGCAUGGUUCUUGGCUGAAAGAUGGCGUAAGCUAUCGCUUUUGGAUGGACCCGCGGCGUAUUAGCUAGUUGGUGAGGUAAUGGCUCACCAAGGCGAUGAUACGUAGCCGAACUGAGAGGUUGAUCGGCCACAUUGGGACUGAGACACGGCCCAAACUCCUACGGGAGGCAGCAGUAGGGAAUCUUCCACAAUGGACGCAAGUCUGAUGGAGCAACGCCGCGUGAGUGAAGAAGGCUUUCGGGUCGUAAAACUCUGUUGUUGGAGAAGAAUGGUCGGCAGAGUAACUGUUGUCGGCGUGACGGUAUCCAACCAGAAAGCCACGGCUAACUACGUGCCAGCAGCCGCGGUAAUACGUAGGUGGCAAGCGUUAUCCGGAUUUAUUGGGCGUAAAGCGAGCGCAGGCGGUUUUUUAAGUCUGAUGUGAAAGCCCUCGGCUUAACCGAGGAAGCGCAUCGGAAACUGGGAAACUUGAGUGCAGAAGAGGACAGUGGAACUCCAUGUGUAGCGGUGAAAUGCGUAGAUAUAUGGAAGAACACCAGUGGCGAAGGCGGCUGUCUGGUCUGUAACUGACGCUGAGGCUCGAAAGCAUGGGUAGCGAACAGGAUUAGAUACCCUGGUAGUCCAUGCCGUAAACGAUGAAUGCUAGGUGUUGGAGGGUUUCCGCCCUUCAGUGCCGCAGCUAACGCAUUAAGCAUUCCGCCUGGGGAGUACGACCGCAAGGUUGAAACUCAAAGGAACUGACGGGAGCCCGCACAAGCGGUGGAGCAUGUGGUUUAAUUCGAAGCAACGCGAAGAACCUUACCAGGUCUUGACAUCUUUUGAUCACCUGAGAGAUCAGGUUUCCCCUUCGGGGGCAAAAUGACAGGUGGUGCAUGGUUGUCGUCAGCUCGUGUCGUGAGAUGUUGGGUUAAGUCCCGCAACGAGCGCAACCCUUAUGACUAGUUGCCAGCAUUUAGUUGGGCACUCUAGUAAGACUGCCGGUGACAAACCGGAGGAAGGUGGGGAUGACGUCAAAUCAUCAUGCCCCUUAUGACCUGGGCUACACACGUGCUACAAUGGAUGGUACAACGAGUCGCGAGACCGCGAGGUCAAGCUAAUCUCUUAAAGCCAUUCUCAGUUCGGACUGUAGGCUGCAACUCGCCUACACGAAGUCGGAAUCGCUAGUAAUCGCGGAUCAGCACGCCGCGGUGAAUACGUUCCCGGGCCUUGUACACACCGCCCGUCACACCAUGAGAGUUUGUAACACCCGAAGCCGGUGGCGUAACCCUUUUAGGGAGCGAGCCGUCUAAGGUGGGACAAAUGAUUAGGGUG
rnacentral:rRNA from 2 species